rnacentral:rRNA from 1 species
CGGGGGGGGCAAGCGUUGUUCGGAAUUACUGGGCGUAAAGGGCCAGUAGGCGGCCAACUAAGUCCGACGUGAAAUCCCCAGGCUUAACCUGGGAACUGCGUCGGAUACUGGAUGGCUUGAAUUCGGGAGAGGGAUGCAGAAUUCCAGGUGUAGCGGUGAAAUGCGUAGAUAUCUGGAGGAAUACCGGUGGCGAAGGCGGCAUCCUGGACCGAGAUUGACGCUGAACGGCGAAAGCUAGGGGAGCAAACGGGAUUAGAUACCCCGGUAGUCCUAGCCCUAAACGAUGAAUGUUUGGUGUGGCGGGUAUCGAUCCCUGCCGUGCCGAAGCUAACGCAUUAAACAUUCCGCCUGGGGAGUACGGUCGCAAGGCUG